AUUGAACGCUGGCGGCAGGCUUAACACAUGCAAGUCGAGCGGGGGAAGGUAGCUUGCUACCGGACCUAGCGGCGGACGGGUGAGUAAUGCUUAGGAAUCUGCCUAUUAGUGGGGGACAACAUCUCGAAAGGGAUGCUAAUACCGCAUACGUCCUACGGGAGAAAGCAGGGGAUCUUCGGACCUUGCGCUAAUAGAUGAGCCUAAGUCAGAUUAGCUAGUUGGUGGGGUAAAGGCCUACCAAGGCGACGAUCUGUAGCGGGUCUGAGAGGAUGAUCCGCCACCCUGGGACUGAGACACGGCUCAGACUCCUACGGGAGGCAGCAGUGGGGAAUAUUGGACAAUGGGGGGAACCCUGAUCCAGCCAUGCCGCGUGUGUGAAGAAGGCCUUAUGGUUGUAAAGCACUUUAAGCGAGGAGGAGGCUACUCUAGUUAAUACCUAGGGAUAGUGGACGUUACUCGCAGAAUAAGCACCGGCUAACUCUGUGCCAGCAGCCGCCGUAA
rnacentral:rRNA from 1 species